CAAAUUCAUAAAACUACAAAAGGAAACUCUCUCACACAAUGUAUGCUAGGCCAAUAAAUUUAAGCUUUUUGAUGGAAAUCAUCUUCUUCCUUCACAUCUAAAAGACAGGGAGGAACAUUUAAGUGGGCCCAGGGGCACCAUGGAUGCUUCUGUAGUAAACAUUGAGCUGUCCACUCACUGUCUCCGUCUGUCUGCAGCAUCUCAGGGAGAACUACAGUUUCUGACCAGUUUGGGGCAGCUGAUAACAUUCCAGAUUGUGGCUGCUCAAUCCACCUGGACAUUGUAGGGCAGAUCCCUGCUAUCGCACGGUCAUCUGCAGUGAACACAACAUGAUCAUCCAUGUAAUUAUGCUUGGGCCAACAUGAGACACAGCAGAAGUGAUAUGUGCACCCUUCCAGGCCAGUCCCUUAAAAUGAAGGUGCGUGCUCUCCUGCUUCCUGACGGCAAGAAUGCAGAGUAGAUGAUAAGAGUUGAGAAAACCAUUCUGGAGUUUAUCACCUCUAAACUAUUCAUCUGGAAUUUUAUAUAAGAGAGAAAUAAACCUAAAUGUAAGUAUUAUAUUUUGGGUUUCUUUGUUAUGCAGCCUAAAUAAUUCUUAACUAAUGUGGGUAUGUAUAAAUAAUAACAGUAGACUUGAGGGGACUUCCUGGUGGCCCAGUGGUUA
ensembl:lncRNA